GACGAACGCUGGCGGCGUGCUUAACACAUGCAAGUCGAACGGAAAGGCCCUUCUUUUGUGGGUUUCUCGAUUGGCGAACGUGUGAGUAACACGUGUGUAACCUGCCCUUUACUUUGUGAUAACUUCAGGAAACUGCGGCUAAUACCGGAUAUGAUCUCCUGCUGCAUUGUGUGGUUUGGAAAGUUUCGGCGGUUGGGGAUGGACUCGCGGCUUAUCAGCUUGUUGGUGGGGUAGUGGCUUACCAAGGCUUUGACGGGUAGCCGGCCUGAGAGGGUGACCGGCCACAUUGGGACUGAGAUACGGCCCAGACUCCUACGGGAGGCAGCAGUGGGGAAUAUUGCACAAUGGGCGGAAGCCUGAUGCAGCAACGCCGCGUGCGGGAUGACGGCCUUCGGGUUGUAAACCGCUUUCGCCUGUGACGAAGCGUGAGUGACGGUAAUGGGUAAAGAAGCACCGGCUAACUACGUG
rnacentral:rRNA from 1 species